GACGAAGUGACGAGUGCACGUGGAUAAGCGUCCACGUCAAAAUAAUCACUCGUUAAGAGAGUACAAGUGAGACAUUACAUAUAAAAAAUACUGGUAGAGAAUUUUCAACUAACUUGAAAUCAAGCAGUAUGUACUGCUCAAGAGAAGAACAUUAUUGAAUGUGGAUAAUGUUAGUUUUUUUUAAAUGAAGUAAGUGUUUUUAUUUUCUCUGGUUUAACAAGUGAUUUAAAGUUUUCUUUCCAAAAAGUUUCAGUAUGAUCUUAGAAAAUUACUACUUAUGAGUACAUAAACUUGCAAUUAUACCAGAAUGGCAUUUAUGUUUCUAUACUGUUUGAGCAAAUUACCUAUCAAUUGUUAUUUAUUAUAUCUAUGUAUUCCUAAAAUUAUGAACAUUUUUAAAGCUGAAAACAAGUUCACUUUUAAAUUGAUAUAAAACUAAAGCAGAGUUACUGAUAAAGUCACCAACUCAAGUUUAUUUUGACAUUUUUUUAUGAAUGUUCUCAUCUGGGCACCUGUCUUUGAUUUCUAUUAUGUAUGUUCAAGAAAUAUAUUUAAACUUCUACAUAGUAUGCUAAAUACCAGAUUUAUAAAUAUGCUUAUUACACUAAAGGAUUAAAGUAAUUACUUACCAGUAAUAAAGAUUAUAGCAUUGA